UUCAGUCUCACUGAGCCCUCUUUAAUGGCUCAAUUUUGGAUUGAACAAGGUUCUUCUGCCUUUUUGUAGUCCUGGAGCGAUGAGAGUGAUUGCAGAAUUUCCAGGAUCAUGAGUCUUGCUUUCUGCAACCCCAAAUGAUGAGAAAGUUAACCCAAACUGUCUUUGAGUUAACACAAAGGGUUCCAGCCAUCCUGGGCUCGUGGAUCCCUGGCUGCUCUGUGUCAUUCCUGCCUAAGUACUUUCCAUCCCGCAGGAGUCACCAGACACCCUGAUGCCCCCACUCACCUCGGCCAAGGAGGCAGGCAACAUUUCAGCUUCUUCAAGUCACCUUUUCCCCAGGACACCAUGCCUGAUGGGGUGGAUUUGGUUCUACUAGUAGGAAAUGCUGCCUAUCACUAAAAGUAAAGAUGCCAGCUUACCCAGGAUUAAUCUCAAAGGAGACUUUGGACUGUGAUAAUGGCUGGUCGGUCCCACCUUCUCUCAGAGGACAAGAAAGCGGUCUUGAAGGUGGAGGGCUGUCAUCCUACCCUACCCACCUCAAGAGGGAAAGGGCUGGGGGGCCACGUGUCUCCUGGUGGAGAGAGGGGCCCAUGAACUGGGAGGCCGAGAGGGAGGUCAGCACGCAGGGACGGCCCACGUUCCCGUCGCAUGUGUGGGAGGGGCGCUGCCGUGGGCUGCGUUACAGUUCCCAGCAUUUCAUCCCCCCGACUUCACGUCCUUUGCCCAGCGACACUGCUGUCCUUCCAUGAGAGGCGGAACAUGGUGCCCUUCUCCGUCAGUGUUGGCCCGGGUGUGCUGGGCUGGCAUUAGCCAGUGGAAUGUGAGUGGAAGCAACAGUGGCCCGGUUCUGAGCUGGGAGCUGGAGGGGCGCUGUGUGUUUCUGUUGCUCUGUUUGUGCUCUGCCCUCCCUGUGAGAAUAGUGCCCUGGGUAGCCUGCUUUCCCAGAAAACGUGAGAGACGUGGGAGCAAAACCCUGCAGGCCACCCCAUAGACCUGAAACCUGAAACCUGAAACCUG